GGUCCCCACUAAGGCAGUGUCUCGAAAAGACUACGCCAAGGUGGGGGAAGGCUCAUCUCAGGGUGUGGCCACGCCUUCCACUUCUGGUGCCGGGCGUCGGUCCGCCAGAGCGCAGCACACAGCGGUGCCGCUCGGGGCUGAUGACCGGAGGACGA
rnacentral:ncRNA from 1 species